GUGGUUAUGGCUCAGUGGUAGAUUGCUCGUCUAGCAUAUGUGAGGCCCUGGGUUCAAACCUCAGUAUCACA
rnacentral:tRNA from 1 species